rnacentral:rRNA from 1 species
UACAGAGGGUGCAAGCGUUGUUCGGAAUUAUUGGGCGUAAAGGGUGCGUAGGCGGUGCGGUAAGUCUGUAGUGAAAUCUCUGGGCUCAACUCAGAGUCUGCUAUAGAAACUGCCGUGCUUGAGUGUGGGAGAGGUGAGUGGAAUUCCUGGUGUAGCGGUGGAAUGCGCAGAUAUCAGGAGGAACACCGGUGGCGAAGGCGGAUCUCUGGGCCAUAACUGACGCUGAGGAGCGAAAGCAUGGGGAGCGAACAGG